rnacentral:rRNA from 1 species
UACGGAGGGUGCAAGCGUUAUCCGGAUUCACUGGGUUUAAAGGGUGCGUAGGUGGGUCUGUAAGUCAGUGGUGAAAUCUCCGAGCUUAACUUGGAAACUGCCAUUGAUACUAUAGAUCUUGAAUAUUGUGGAGGUCAGCGGAAUAUGUCAUGUAGCGGUGAAAUGCGUAGAUAUCUGGAGGAACACCGGUGGCGAAGGCGGCAUCCUGGACCGGCAUUGACGCUGAGGCGCGAAAGCCAGGGGGAGCAAAACGGGG